rnacentral:rRNA from 1 species
CCGAACGCCCAUGCUGACGCGCGGGUGCGUAACCCACGCCCCAGCCGCCAUAUAGGCCGCAUGUGUCAGGUUCUCCUGACGGUGUGGUUGUGGUGGUGGGGUCUGGGGGAUCCUCCGUGCAGGUAGGCAAGCGUGUUAACAGGGGUGACGCACAGUGGUAGCCCGGCGGACCUGAUGGCUUGGUCCGUUCAAGCGCGCAGCCCGUUUCCCAGGUAAAUCCGGGGGACUGUCUUUGAUGACGGGGGUGAGGCGUGAUGGUGACCUCACACUGGUGGGGGAUAACAGGGUGAUCCUGGGGUGCCGAGAAAAGCCUCGACGCGAUGGUGCCAGCCGCCCGUACCCUAAACCGACACAGGUGGUCAGGUAGAGAAUACCAAGGCGAUCGGGAGAACUGUGGUUAAGGAACUACGGCAAAAUGCCUCCGUAACUUCGGGAGAAGGAGGACCCCAUUAGGGUGAUGGACCUCGCGUCCCGAGCUCGAAGGGGUGGCACAGACCAGGGGAAAGCGACUGUUUACUAAAAACACAGCAGCGUGCGAAGUCCUAAGACGAUGUAUACGCUG